rnacentral:rRNA from 1 species
AGCGAACGCUGGCGGCAGGCCUAACACAUGCAAGUCGAGGGGAGCGGCAGACGGGUGAGUAACGCGUGGGAACGUACCUUUAGGUUCGGGACAACAAAGGGAAACUUGUGAUGAUACAGGAUAACGAAAGAUCGGCCCGCGCCUGAUUAGCUAGUUGGUAGGGUAAUGGCCUACCAAGGCGACGAUCAGUAGCUGGUCUGAGAGGAUGAUGAGCCACCUUGGGACUGAGACGCGGCCCAAACUCCUACGGGAGGCAGCAAUGGCGAACCUUGGACAAUGGGGUCAACCCUGAUCCAGCCCUGCCGCGUGAGUUAUGAUGUCCCUAGGGUUGUAAAGCUCUUUUGUGCGGGAAUCGGUACCGCAAGAAUAAGCCCCGGCUAACUUCGUGCCAGCAGCCGCGGUAAUUC